AUAAAAAGCAGAGAAGAAAAGAAAGAUUAUUAGAAGCUAUUUUAGGAAAGAAGAUUAUUUUAUAGUAGAAAGUUGUUUUAGAAAGACUAUUUUAGUAGAAAAUGGGCUUUAUGCAAAAGGAAGAGAGAUUUAAAUAGAGGCUGAUUGCCUCAAGAACUCGACUAAGUAAUUGAGGCCAUAUGUCUUUCAAUAAUUUAAAGUCUGAGAUUUUUGGCUGCUUGAAACUAGGGAGAAGGAUUAAUGGGAGACAAUAUAUAUAUUUGCUUUGGGGGACCCAAGCUUUUUGUUUAUGCUUUCCUCCACUUGCAGGUUCCUAGAAGAUCUAGAAUGGCCAUGAAAUCAUGUUUUCAAAGUCUAUUCAUAUUGGCACCAUCCAUCAAUGAAAAUUCAUCAAUAAGAAUUAUUAGAAGGUUGCCUCAAACAUGUCUUCCUUCAAAGAAGUCCUAUGUAUAGCUUCCCAAGCAUCUCAGUUUUGAAUCGCCUUCUUUAGAGUCUCCUUUUCUACCCCCAACUGUAGUCAUGUACCUGUAUAUCUUCUCACCAAUCCUCCCUUAAAUUAGUUACAAAUCAGAAACAUCAGAAAAUGAAUAAAAGUGAGUUUCCCAAUAAUUUAUUGAUAAGGUAGUUGACUUCUUCAUAAAUAUCCUAAAUAGGGUGUAUGUUACAUUAAGGGAAGAUUAACAAUUUUGGAGAGAGGGCUUGCUAACCACUUUCAGAGAUACUCUUCUACCUCAUUGCCCAACCUUCACCUAUGACUCCAAGAAGUUGUCCAAGAUGUCCAGAAGCCCACUUCCUGAUAAACAGUCUCUGCAGAUGGGCUAACCCUGUAAACCCUUUUAGUUUGGGGGGGGGGGGAGGUAUCCUCUCCAAGCAUGUGAAGAUUUCUCCCAGCAGAGGAGAACAAUUCUUCAUAAUGAAUAUGAAGGAAGAUGAAUCAAAUGAUGUGGAGCACUUAUCUGUAUAGACAUGGAAGACAUCAAGGGCAUUCAAUGCAUUCUGGGUUAUUGCUAGUCUCUUCACUUAAGACUAAUUUGUGCAACUGUGCCUCACAAAUAGCUUGAAAGUCAUAACUUCACCUGUGAUGUCAUUAGCCUUCUUCAAAAAUGAAGGGUGAAACCAUCCUAAAUACCGAGAGCUUCUUUCUGCAGUGUUUCAAGGACUUUAUUAUCUAGCCUACCAGAUAUUUGCAAGCUAUAAUUGGAGACUUCUUUGGAUGAAAGUUUUGAUUUUUGUUCCCAUUUUUUUUCCCCUUAGGAUAUGGGUUAUCCCUUCAUGUAUAGUUUAAGGAAUUUUUGUUGGAGUAGAAGUGGCCAUGGUCUGGUCUAGAUUGUGUCAUUGUGGAUUGAAAGCUAACUUGUCUCCUCAAUACCAAGAGAAUUCGUAUUCCAUCUCCCACCAUCCUGUUUAAUAGUCACAGUGAAGGAAGGAGGAAUAAUCUGCUAUCAGAAGUAAACUUCACCCAAUCACCCAUAAAAGAGCAGCCUACCCCCAUUUUAAGUAGCUACAACAUUUGAAAUUCUUGGAUUUAUUGCAGUUAAGUUUAGAGAAAUCUGAUCUAUCCUUGGGGGACUGAAUAUAAUUUCUAGAAUUCUAUUGCUUAUGGAGUUGCAGUAGAAUAGAGAGCACUGAGCAUAACAAGCAGGAACAAAAGUGUUUGUGCAAUUUUUCUCCCUUAAUUUUCUCUCACUGAAUUGAAAAAAUGGAUUUUUGCAGCUUAAUUUAUAUUAAAUGCAUCAAUGGUAAUGCUGUGCUUGCUUGUAUUCAAAAUAGCAGGACUCAAGCACUCUUUCCCCCCGCCCCCUAGUCUUAAGGGGAUUAGAUUCAGUAUUCAUUGAUUUUUUUUUUUUUCUCCCAGUAAAAGGGGAGCAUUUAGAACAGAUGAUGCAAAAAAAAAAAAAAAAAUUGAGAAUAUAAGCAUUUUAUUUGUCCCUAUGUUAAAAAGCAGAUGAAAACUGGAGAAGGAAGAUUUUUUUCAAGCAGUCCCGAGGAUACCGUAACCUUUGGAAAACUUAAGAGGCUAUUCUAGGAAAAGGUAUAGAGCUGAACAGAGGCUAGCUUCUUUUGUUGUGUUGUUCAAUUCUCUCAACCAAGUAAAUGCAAGAUCCUACAGCUCUUAAAACACUAAACAGUCUAAACAUGGGUUUUUAAACAGUGAUUCUGUAGCUUUGCAUUUAAGAAGUAGAGCCAUUAUAAUUAACUACUUAAGUAUUUACUAUAUACUAGAUACCUAGGUAUUCCUACUUUUGUGCUUGGGUUAUUAGUGUUUUUCUCUAUUUUGCUUAGUUCACUUAAAGAUAAGCACCACUUCUUUGUCAUGAAUAUUUUGACACUAGUAAAAUCUUUUCCUAGA